UAUUUUCACAUGAUGAGGAUAACAGCAUUCACUAACAACCAAUUUCAUUAUCGAUUCGAUUAGUUGUUGCAGCUCUAAUAAUAAAUAAUAAACUCAGUGUUUCAAAGAGAAUAAAAACCCAUAAAGUUUGGAAACUCACUGUUCCAGCAGUCGUACAGUCGCUCUAUUAAACAUUUUUCUACUAUUGAACAUCAGGUAGCUGCUCCAUCAACACUUUAAUCUCAUAAGGAGCACGAGACUGAGAGGAACCACCACAUCCAGAGUCCACCCACAUCCAGCUCAAGUUCCAGCUGUGGAGGAGAAACCAGCUGCAGCUCAAGUUCCAGCUGUGGAGGAGAAACCAGCUGCAGCUCAAGUUCCAGCUGUGGAGGAGAAACCAGCUGCAGCUCAAGUUCCAGCUGUGGAGGUGAAACCAGCACAAGUUUAAAAUUCAGUUAAAGCUCCUUCAGCAUCUGUUUUUUAUAAUCACAACCUUUGUGUGGAACUACAGCUCUACUGACUGAACUCGCCGGGAACGCUGCCUGUUCUGCCCUGUUCCAUGAAAGCAGCAGCAUGUUGGAAACUGGAUUAUCUGCACUUCUUUUGUACUUUAAGAAUUGUGCUGUGCUGAGCAGUAAAACUCAAUGGAACUCAAACUGUCUUGUGUUUAAUGGUGAGAAAAGUGCCAAAGUCUGCCAGAGACACUGUUCAAUUCUCAAUUAAAUCUCAGGAAAUUGUAGACAAGUCAAGACAUCAGCAAACUUCAUCACUGCUGUGAUGCCGAGUGGUGAGGGUGUUGGACUUGAAAUCUAAUGGUGUUUCCCCACGCAGGUUUGAAUCCUGCUCACAGCGUUUCAUCAAUGUGUGAUAGUGGUUUCUUGUUAAGUCUUUACUGUGUGAAGUGAACAAUGUACAGAAGUGUUUCAUGCAUAGAAAAACGUUGGAAACAAACAUUAUCUGGUUUACUUGAGGUGAAAGUUGUUUUGCUGGGACGAAGAGGAAGAACAUUAGAACUCACAUUACCUCUUUAGGAAACAUGAUUCGUCUUGUGCUUUCUACAAGAUCCAAAAGGUUCAGAAAGAUCUUUUUAAACUUUUUGGACGUUGUUGCCACGAAGUCUUAAAUACAGGGUUCCUGCGGGGUCUUAAAAAGUCUUGAAUUUAACUUGAAGAAACCUGUAGGAACCCUGUACAUCAUACACAAGGAACUACACGCCAACAGGAACAAUACGGUGUCUAUAGAACAACAUGUUGCAGAGCUCUGAGGUGUUGCACUUUUCAGACAGAUUUACUACAGAAAUGUAUUUUUAUAAAUGGGUUAAUUACA